rnacentral:rRNA from 1 species
CGGAGGAGGAGCCCGCGCCCGAUUAGCUAGUUGGUGAGGUAACGGCUCACCAAGGCAAUGAUCGGUAGCUGGUCUGAGAGGAUGGCCAGCCACACUGGAGCUGAGACACGGUCCAGACUCCUACGGGAGGCAGCAGUGGGGAAUCUUGCACAAUGGGCGAAAGCCUGAUGCAGCGACGCCGCGUGGGGGAUGAAGCUUUUCGGAGUGUAAACCCCUUUCGACUGGGACGAAUGCCUCGCAAGAGGAGUGACGGUACCAGUAUAAGAAGCCCCGGCUAACUACGUGCCAGCAGCCGCGGUAAGACGUAGGGGGCCAGCGUUGUUCGGAAUUACUGGGUGUAAAGGGUUCGUAGGCGGUGUGGCAAGUCGGGAGUGAAAUCUCUGGGCUCAACCCAGAGACUGCUUCCGAAACUGCUGUGCUUGAGUGUGAGAGAGGCUCGUGGAAUUGCAGGUGUAGCGGUGAAAUGCGUAGAUAUCUGCAGGAACACCCGUGGCGAAAGCGGCGAGCUGGAUCACUACUGACGCUGAGGAACGAAAGCUAGGGGAGCAA